GAGAAGAACGUAGCGAAAUGCGAUAAGUAAUGUGAAUUGCAGAAUUCAGUGAAUCAUCGAGUCUUUGAACGCACAUUGCGCCCCCUGGUAUUCCGGGGGGCAUGCCUGUCCGAGCGUCAUUGCUGCCCUCAAGCACGGCUUGUGUGUUGGGCCGUCGUCCCCCUCCUAGGGGACGGGCCCGAAAGGCAGCGGCGGCACCGCGUCCGGUCCUCGAGCGUAUGGGGCUUCGUCACCCGCUCCGUAGGCCCGGCCGGCGCUUGCCGACGACCAUCAAUCUCUUUCUCCAGGUUGACCUCGGAUCAGGUAGGGAUACCCGCUGAACUUAAGCAUAUCAAUAAGCGGAGGA
rnacentral:misc_RNA from 1 species